UANGNCUUCCCCCAUCACUAACCCCACUCUGUCGGCACGCGUCCUCUUUCGUUAGACUACGGACUUCGGGUGUUGCCAGCUCUCAUGGUGUGACGGGCGGUGUGUACAAGGCCCGGGAACGUAUUCACCGCGACAUGCUGAUUCGCGAUUACUAGCAACUCCAGCUUCAUGCAGGCGGGUUUCAGCCUGCAAUCCGAACUGGGAGCAGUUUUCAAGGUUCGCUCCACCUCGCGGUCUUGCUUCUCUCUGUUCUGCCCAUUGUAGCACGUGUGUUGCCCUGGAAAUAAGGGGCAUGAUGAUUUGACGUCAUCCCCACCUUCCUCCGCGUUAACCGCGGCUGUCUCGUUAGAGUGCUCAUCUUACUGCUAGCAAAUAACAAUAGGGGUUGGGCUCGUUGCAGGACUUAACCUAACAUCUCACGAACGAGCUGACGACAACCAUGCACCACCUGUCUCCCUGCCCCGAAAGGCUUCUCUUAUCUCUAAGAAAUGCAGGGGAUGUCAAGUCCAGGGAAGGGUCCUUCGCGUUGCUUCCAAUAUAAACCACCAUGNUCCGCCUGCUUGUGGGGGGGCCCCCCCCAAUUCCUUUUGAAUUUUCCUUCUUGCGAGCGUACUUCCCCGGGGGAGUACUUAAUGCGUUUACUUCCCCCCCCCAGGGGGGGAACCCCCGAACAGCUAGAAAUCAUCGUUUACCGGGGGGGAAUACCAGGGGAUCUAAUCCUGGUUUGCUUCCCCACGCCUUUUCUGGCUCUAGUGGCAGUUACAAUCCAAAAAACCGCCCUUCCAAAUGGGAUUUCCUCCUAAAAUAUAACGCAUUUCACCGCUACCCUAAGAAUUCUACUCUCCCUCUCCCUGCCUCAAGUCUCUAGUUUCAAAAAAUAAUACGGUUGAGGCGGAGCCCUUCCCUUCUGAAUUAAGAAACAACCCACCCACCCUUCACCCCAGUA
rnacentral:rRNA from 1 species